rnacentral:rRNA from 1 species
GUCGAGCGGCAGCACGGGGAGCUUGCUCCCUGGUGGCGAGCGGCGGACGGGUGAGUAAUGCAUAGGAAUCUGCCCGGUAGUGGGGGAUAACGUGGGGAAACCCACGCUAAUACCGCAUACGUCCUACGGGAGAAAGCGGAGGAUCUUCGGACUUCGCGCUAUCGGAUGAGCCUAUGUCGGAUUAGCUAGUUGGUAAGGUAACGGCUUACCAAGGCGACGAUCCGUAGCUGGUCUGAGGGGAUGAUCAGCCACACUGGGACUGAGACACGGCCCAGACUCCUACGGGAGGCAGCAGUGGGGAAUAUUGGACAAUGGGCGAAAGCCUGAUCCAGCCAUGCCGCGUGUGUGAAGAAGGCUUUCGGGUUGUAAAGCACUUUCAGCGAGGAAGAAAGCCCCUGGGUUAAUACCCCAGAGGAAGGACAUCACUCGCAGAAGAAGCACCGGCUAACUCCGUGCCAGCAGCCGCGGUAAUACGGAGGGUGCGAGCGUUAAUCGGAAUUACUGGGCGUAAAGCGCGCGUAGGUGGCUUGGCACGCCGGUUGUGAAAGCCCCGGGCUCAACCUGGGAACGGCAUCCGGAACGGCCAGGCUAGAGUGCAGGAGAGGAAGGUAGAAUUCCCGGUGUAGCGGUGAAAUGCGUAGAGAUCGGGAGGAAUACCAGUGGCGAAGGCGGCCUUCUGGCCUGACACUGACACUGAGGUGCGAAAGCGUGGGUAGCAAACAGGAUUAGAUACCCUGGUAGUCCACGCCGUAAACGAUGUCGACUAGCCGUUGGGACCUUUAAGGACUUAGUGGCGCAGUUAACGCGAUAAGUCGACCGCCUGGGGAGUACGGCCG